rnacentral:rRNA from 1 species
UACGUAGGGUGCAAGCGUUGUCCGGAAUUAUUGGGCGUAAAGAGCUCGUAGGCGGUCUGUCGCGUCUGCUGUGAAAACUCGGGGCUCAACCCCGAGCCUGCAGUCGAUACGGGCAAACUAGAGUGCUGUAGGGGAGACUGGAAUUCCUGGUGUAGCGGUGAAAUGCGCAGAUAUCAGGAGGAACACCGGUGGCGAAGGCGGGUCUCUGGGCCGAUACUGACGCUGAGGAGCGAAAGCGUGGGUAGCAAACAGG